rnacentral:rRNA from 1 species
UGUUUCGGCUAGGGGGUCAUCCCGACUUACCAACCCGAUGCAAACUGCGAAUACCGAAGAAUGUUAUCACGGGAGACACACGGCGGGUGCUAACGUCCGUCGUGAAGAGGGAAACAACCCAGACCGCCAGCUAAGGUCCCAAAGUCAUGGUUAAGUGGGAAACGAUGUGGGAAGGCACAGACAGCCAGGAUGUUGGCUUAGAAGCAGCCAUCAUUUAAAGAAAGCGUAAUAGCUCACUGGUCGAGUCGGCCUGCGCGGAAGAUGUAACGGGGCUAAACCAUGCACCGAAGCUGCGGCAGCGACACUAUGUGUUGUUGGGUAGGGGAGCGUUCUGUAAGCCGUUGAAGGUGGCCUGUGAGGGUUGCUGGAGGUAUCAGAAGUGCGAAUGCUGACAUAAGUAACGAUAAUGCGGGUGAAAAACCCGCACGCCGGAAGACCAAGGGUUCCUGUCCAACGUUAAUCGGGGCAGGGUGAGUCGACCCCUAAGGCGAGGCCGAAAGGCGUAGUCGAUGGGAAACAGGUUAAUAUUCCUGUACUUGGUGUUACUGCGAAGGGGGGACGGAGAAGGCUAUGUUAGCCGGGCGACGGUUGUCCCGGUUUAAGCAUGUAGGCGGAGGUUCCAGGUAAAUCCGGUACCUUUUUAACGCUGAGGUGUGAUGACGAGGCACUACGGUGCUGAAGUAACAAAUGCCCUGCUUCCAGGAAAAGCCUCUAAGCAUCAGGUAACACGAAAUCGUACCCCAAACCGACACAGGUGGUCAGGUAGAGAAUACCAAGGCGCUUGAGAGAACUCGGGUGAAGGAACUAGGCAAAAUGGUGCCGUAACUUCGGGAGAAGG